CAUGGCCGUCGUCAGUUCGUACUGUGAAGCAUCCUGUUAAGUCAGGCAACGAGCGAGACCCACGCCACAGUUGCCAGCGUACUCUCUGGAGUGACGGGUACACUGUGGGGACCGCCGCUGCUAAAGCGGAGGAAGGAAUGGGCAACGGUAGGUCAGUAUGCCCCGAAUAUCCCGGGCUACACGCGAGCUACAAUGGUUGGUACAAUGGGUAUCUACCCCGAAAGGGGACGGGAAUCUCCUAAAACCAAUCUUAGUUCGGAUUGAGGGCUGCAACUCGCCCUCAUGAAGCUGGAAUCCGUAGUAAUCGCGUUUCAACAGAACGCGGUGAAUACGUCCCUGCUCCUU
rnacentral:rRNA from 1 species